UACGGAGGGUGCAAACGUUGCUCGGAAUUAUUGGGCGUAAAGCGCACGUAGGCGGCCGAGUAAGUCGGGUGUGAAAGCCCUCGGCUUAACCGAGGAAGUGCAUUCGAAACUGCUCGGCUUGAAUACUGAAGAGGGUCUCGGAAUUCCCGGUGUAGAGGUGAAAUUCGUAGAUAUCGGGAGGAACACCAGUGGCGAAGGCGGAGAUCUGGGCAGAUAUUGACGCUGAGGUGCGAAAGCGUGGGGAGCAAACAGG
rnacentral:rRNA from 1 species